CAGGGCUCAACCAGGAAGGAAAAGGCAGCUCACGGCCUUUUAGACUAAGAGGAGGAAGGCUGGGUAUGGCCUGUUUCCCUCGUGUUCCAGAAUGCCAACCCAGAAGGAGCUACCGUUGCAGAGGAGGGCACUGCCCAGGGGACUCAGCCAUCGCCCACCCCCAGUGCUUGCUAUCCAAGCUCUCCAGCCACCAAGCGCCCCUCCCUGGGAGCCGGAGCUCCCCGAUCUCCAUUUCCUCGUCUCUGAAACAGAAGCAGCAACGCUAGACCCACGUCCCUCACGGGAUAGCAAGCUUUAGGGAAAGAAGAGAAUCAAGCAUGGAAGGAGAAAGAAAAGACAAAACUACAAAAAGAAAACAGACAAGCCUGCUACUGGAGUUGCAGACUUCAGCACCCCUGCCUGACAGCUCACAGGCAGUCAGGGGGAAUACAGACGGCUUGAACAACACCAUCCGUCAACUGGAUCUAACUGAUGUCUACAGAACACUUCCCCCAAUAGGAGCAGAUGGCACAUUCUUCUCAAGCUGACAUGGAACACUCACCAAGAAAGAUCCCAUGCUGGGUCAUAAUACUAAAAGGAUAGAAAUCAUAAAAAGUAUGUUCUCUGACCACAGCGGAAUUAAAUAGAAAUCAGUAACAGACUAAUAGCUGGGAAAUCCCCAAAUAUUUUGAAAUUAAACAACACACUUCUAAAUAACUCAGGGGACAAAGAAAUUGUCUUAGGAGAAAUUUUAAAACAUGUGAACAAAUUGAAGAAGAUAUAAUUUAUCAAAAUUUGUAGGAUGCAGCAAAAGCAGUACUUAGAGGGAAAUUCAUAGCCCCGAAUGCAUACCCUGGAACAGAAAGGCAGGUGAAGGGAGAGUUGGCCCUGGAGAAUGGAUGCCACAUUGAGUGUGACUUUAAAAGGAUGCUGGGCAGAGACCUGGCAGGCAGGGAAUCAAGUCCCU